UGUAUAACACAAUAUUCAGGUUUCGACCUUCUAUUUUUACUGUAAGAAUGGAGGAGCUGAAGGCGAUACUUAGAGAAGCAUUCGGUGAAUCAUCAGACAGCGAGGCGGAAGAUGAAUUGAGGGAGCUCAAAAGUUCAAGCAUCAGCGAAUCAGAAUCGAUAUUCGGAGCGAAGCGGUCCUGGGAACAAAUCACCGAGAUCAAUGGCCUGUGGUUGUGCAGAGAUUUUCUCUCCUCUGAUCAGCAAUGUUUACUGAUCUCAGCAAUCCAAGCAGAAGGAUGGUUCACCGAGGCAUCACAGAACCAGGCUAUGAGAUUUGGAGACCUUCCAGAAUGGGCAGUUGAACUUUCCAACUCUAUUCGCGAAGUAGUGCUUCUUAAUAAUUAUGUUCGGGAGCCCCCCGGCUUAGCAAACUGUGGGAAUGGCCAAGAAGCAACUCUCUACCCCCCAGAUUUACUAUGGAGGGAACCGCUGUUUGAUCAGCUUAUUGCAAACGCGUACGAACCAGGUGAGGGAAUAUGUGCACAUGUUGAUCUCAUGCGAUUUGAAGACGGAAUCGCCGUCGUCUCUUUGGAGUCUACCUGUGUGAUGCAUUUCACAAGAGUUGAAACUGAAGAGAACGAAUGUGGGAGAGUUAUUCCCUCAAACAAAGUACCAGUCCUUUUGACCCCUGGUUCACUAGCCUUAAUGUGGGGAGAGGCAAGAUACCUAUGGAAGCAUGAGAUAAACCGCAAGCCUGGGUUUCAAGAAUGGGAAGGCAGAGAAAUCAGCCAGAAGAGAAGAAUCUCAGUUACCUUGAGAAGACUUUGCCAGAAUGAGUAGAUUCUCACAAACUCUAGCAAGAAUUCACAAAGUCACAUAUUCAUCAUCUCGUCAGAAAGUUUCUUUAUUGAAAUGCAAUACCAUCAAAUGAUUUGGCAUUUCUGUAUCCUUCUUACACUAUAUGUAAUACUAUAUUAAACAAAAAUAAAAUACACAAAAUGGUAAACAAACCUGCAUUAUUAUAAGCUUGCAGUUCAAGUGCUGGAUCAAAACCUAAGAUGUAAUAUUACAUUAUAAUAACAUCUG